GCAGGUCGCGCUCCGGGCCAAGUGGUCCGGCACUCCAUUGCUCCUGGAAGCCGGUGAACUACUAUCAAAAGAAUGGAAAGACCUCUUUUGGGAGUUCAUUGAGGUGUGGCUUCACUCUGAGGGAAACGAUGCCAAACCCUCUACAGCCAGGGACUGCCUGAAGAUAAUUUUAGGGCACGGAAACUCUUUGAUAGGUCACUCAUUGGCACCAUUGUUCGAAUUCUCUCUUCUUCUUAGAUCAGCGUCGCCACGAUUAGUGCUGUAUAGGCAACUAGCCGAGGAGUCUCUCUCAUCUUUUCCUCUGGCUGACGAUGUUAGCUCAAGCAAUGUGAAUCCUGGGUUUCCUAGUGAAACAGAGGAAUUAAAGAGAAAGUUAGAUUCCUUGCCCGUUGGGGAAUCCGGAUAGCCCAAAUGGGAGAUGUUGUUGGGUAGAUACUGGAGGGAACUGUUCUUUGAUAUUGCAGAGCUAAACUUGUGGCUUCAAAAUCCUGAACGGAGUGGAGAUGUUUUCAUCAGC